CUUCUGCUUUCAGCUAAUAUGUAGUAUCCCAGGGAAAACUAACUCUCCCACUAAAGACAACAAGAAAAACCAGAUACAAUAUUUUUGAAACCACUGGAAGACAUUGAGAAGUUGUCAUGGCAACCAGAAUACAACGGAUCCAUACAUCGGAAGAAACAGGACUUCAGAGAGGGACUUCACCAAGAUAAUUUUGAAGACCCCUUAUUUGAUAACAUUCCAAGAGAUGCUCUGAUCAGCAGGGUCACCCACUGGGCCCCUCAUGCCCAAAUUCUGUCCUUCCCACUACCAUUUGUAUCUAUCCUCAUGACACCCAGAAAACAUGGAGCCAGAUGAAGCCAUAGUUGCCAUCUGUCUGGCUCAGGAAGGCUCACACAUUUAUUGAGAUUCAUUACUGAAGAGACUACUUUACCUUC